GACGUACUGCGCGAACGUUAUUCGGAAUCACUGGGCUUAAAGGGUGCGCAGGCGGCUCUCCAAGCCCGAAGUGAAAGGUCCCGGCCCAACCGGGGACGUGCUUCGGGGACUUGAGGGCUCGGGCGAGCUAGGGGUCUGUGGAACUCCCGGUGGAGCGGUGAAAUGUGUUGAGAUCGGGAGGAACGCCGGUGGCGAAAGCGACAGACUGGGGCUUUGCCGACGCUCAUGCACGAAAGCCAGGGGAGCGAACGGG
rnacentral:rRNA from 1 species